rnacentral:rRNA from 1 species
AUAGGUGGGGUGUGUAAGCGCGGCGACGUGUUGAGCUAACCCAUACUAAUUACCCGUGAGGCUUAACCAUACAACACCCAAGAAGUGUUC